rnacentral:rRNA from 1 species
UACGAAGGGGGCUAGCAUUGCUCGGAAUGACUGGGCGUAAAGGGCGCGUAGGCGGAGUGCUUUGUCGGGCGUGAAAUUCCAGGGCUCAACCUUGGGGCUGCGUUCGAGACGGGCAUUCUAGAGUUCGGAAGAGGGUCGUGGAAUUCCCAGUGUAGAGGUGAAAUUCGUAGAUAUUGGGAAGAACACCGGUGGCGAAGGCGGCGAUCUGGCCCAACAUUGACACUGAGACCCGAAAGCAUGGGGAUCAAACAGG